UACGUAGGGGGGCUAGCGUUUGUCCGGAAUCAUUGGGCGAAAGCGCGUGUAGGCGGUCCGGUAAGUCCGCUGUGAAAGUCGGGGGCUCAACCCUCGAAUGCCGGUGGAUACUGUCGGGCUAGAGUGCGGGAGAGGCGAGUGGAAUUCCUGGUGUAGCGGUGAAAUGCGCAGAUAUCCGGAGGAACACCGGUGGCGAAGGCGGCUUCCUGGACCGACACUGACGCUGAUGAGCGAAAGCUAGGGGAGCAAACGGG
rnacentral:rRNA from 1 species